ACGCACGCUGGCGGCGUGCCUCAUCCCUGCAAGUUGCGCGAUGAAGAUUGGUGCUUGCACCAAUUUGAAGAGCAGCGAACGGGUGAGUAACGCGUGGGGAAUCUGCCUUUGAGCGGGGGACAACAUUUGGAAACGAAUGCUAAUACCGCAUAACAACUUUAAACAUAAGUUUUAAGUUUGAAAGAUGCAAUUGCAUCACUCAAAGAUGAUCCCGCGUUGUAUUAGCUAGUUGGUGAGGUAAAGGCUCACCAAGGCGAUGAUACAUAGCCGACCUGAGAGGGUGAUCGGCCACAUUGGGACUGAGACACGGCCCAAACUCCUACGGGAGGCAGCAGUAGGGAAUCUUCGGCAAUGGACGAAAGUCUGACCGAGCAACGCCGCGUGAGUGAAGAAGGUUUUCGGAUCGUAAAACUCUGUUGGUAGAGAAGAACGUUGGUGAGAGUGGAAAGCUCAUCAAGUGACGGUAACUACCCAGAAAGGGACGGCUAACUACGUG
rnacentral:rRNA from 1 species